rnacentral:lncRNA from 1 species
UGCCAUUUCCCAAUUUUCAGCAAUGCAACAACAACAAUACGAGGCAGCCAGCAGAAAUGAGAGAAAACUAAACAAUGAAGCAUUGAUUUAACGUGCUAGACAAAAACUAAAAAAAAUACCUCAAUGUAGGUGUGUGUGAGGUUGAGAUGGAACCGAGAGGAGUUGGGGAAGAUUUUUUUUUCUGUUCUGUUUGUUUCCUCCGCCCAAGUCCGAGAGAGGGAGAGUGAGGGGUCAGGCUGCAAAAUUCCGAGAGUUUCCCUUCCUCCUCUCUCGUGCGUUUCUUUUUUUCUGCCUCUGCCAAGUGAGUCCAGAGGGAUUGGAGU